UCUCUGCAACUGACGGAAAUGUGGAUUACCACAAGGGAACAGAGAACAUACUCGCCGACCGUCUGGGCACACU
rnacentral:ncRNA from 1 species